rnacentral:lncRNA from 1 species
GGAUAUUUAACACUAGUUGCUAAAACAACAAACCCCAAAAUAAAUCUCAGUGGUUCAACACAACAGAAGUUUACUUCUCACUGCUUCGCAGUUCCAUAAAUGUCAACUGGAUCAAGUGGGUAGCUCCUCACCAAGGAUUUACUUGGGAACCCAGCCUCCGUACAUCAUGUGGCUCUACUGUCACAGUGUUCUUGUCUCUCAUCCAUGUGGCCACAGGAGAGAGAGUGUUUAUGACAUCAGAGAGAAGGACCAUGCAUUCUCUCUCCUCUUUCCUUUUCUCUUUCCCUCUUUCUCCCCACUCUUUCCUUGCUUCCCUACCUUUAUCCAUCUUCCCUCCCUCCAUUCUUUCUGCAUAUUUACUGAGUAUCCUGGCAGAAACAAUGCUGUAUUUUGUCUGCUGUGUGAGAGAGCGAUCUGUGAGAUGUAUAAGCAGAAGCAAGCGAAUCCUGCAUCCUGGAUGCCCACUUCCAACCUAACUGUCUUGCUCACCCUCCAUCCCAGAUGUUGCAUUCUUGCUGGUGUGAUUCUUCAUUUUUUGUCCCAAAGGCUGGGAUGCCCAGAGUCACCUUCUCUGGUUUAUUCUACUCUACGGCAUCGGGAUGCCCAGCUUGAAUGUGUGAUCCUCUGGGAAGUCUUCCUUGAUCCUGCUUAGCCAAACAUGAUCUCUCCCUCUACCUGCCUUCUGCUGUCCCCUUGGCCCUUUUCAACCUUGUAUUACAACAAGGAUAUAUGCAUCUCAUCUAUCCUGUAAGAUUUUGCAGGAGAAGAAGUAGGCACUGUAGUAAUUAAAUGGACUUUGGAGGCAGACAAACUGGGAUAAACAUGAUGGUUCUGCUACUUACAAGCUCCAUGACUUCAGGCAAGUGACGCAGACUCUCCAACUCUUGGCUACAACAUGGAGGCUAUAACAAUGACAUCAGAGGUGCCAUGGGUGCCAAAUAAGACAGAGGAUGGAAACAGCUUAGCAGCACAGUGUCAGACACACAAGAGGCUAGCACAUAGCAGGUGUUACUACCUUUUAUUAAAAAAAAAACAUGGAUUUGUAUCCCAGCUCCCCCUCCUACUUUGACUUCAGCUAUCUCCUUGAACCUCGGUUUCUUAAUCCUUAGAACAAGGGUCAUAAUACUUCCCUGAUAAGGCUUGAGGUUAAAAGACAUCAUAUAUAAACUGCAUAGUGCAGUAAAGUAGACAUAAGGUAGGUAUUCAUUAAAUUAUGGAGUGAAUUAAUAAAUUAAUAAAUGGGAAUAAUGGCA